AGAAGCCAGGAGCUCAGCACCAUGGCUUGAACUAGGAGCGGGGUGGGGAUUUUACAAGCUGGGAAGACUUUCAAAGAGACCCGGCUUAUCUUUUGGCACAGAGGGUAGAGGUUUGACUGAUAAAGGGAACUCAGGGUAGGGACUGGAGACCGGACAAACACAGGAGUCUAGCGGGCCAUCUAUCCUGGGGCUGAGAACGUUGUGUUGAUUUCCUUUGCCCUCCGCUGCUGGAGACGAGUGGGCGCCCCUGGCUGAGUGGACAAGGUGCCAUGUGAGUACAUCUGGAUCCGUCGAGCUUUGGAUGGAGGUGACGUGGAGGAAGAUGAAGAUGAUGCUGAAGUCGCGGCCCUCCGCUCUGGUCACUCUCCUUCCUCCUGAAGCCGGUUUCCAGUCGGGUCUGCUCGCUGGGCUGGCACGGCUUUCCCAGCAUCAGGGUCUUUUCCAGGGAGUCAGCUCUUCGCACCAGGUGUCCGAAGCACUGGAGCUACAGCGUCAGCAUCAGUCCUUCCGACGAAGCCUGCUGUGGUUCCGUAUGAAAAUAUGCAUCUCACACUUUCUUCCUAUCGCCAUGACCAGGUAUUCUCAAAGACCUUUUCCACAUCGUGUCCCCUCCAAACCAGCCGUGAACGAGAGAAUCAGGACUCACAGGAGUCCUUGUGGACAAAAGGGCUUUCGCAGACCAGAGCUACUGUCUCCCUUAG
ensembl:lncRNA